CCUGAGAGGGUGACCGGCCACACUGGGACUGAGACACGGCCCAGACAUCUACGGGAGGCACGCAGUGGGGAAUAUUGCACAAUGGGCGCAAGCCUGAUGCAGCGACGCCCGCGUGAGGGAUGACGGCUUCGGGUUGUAAACCUCUUUCAGUAGGGAAGAAGCGAGAGUGACGGUMCCUWYAGAAGAAGCGCCCGGCUAACUACGUGCCAGCAGCCGCGGUAAUACGUAGGGCGCGAGCGUUAUCCGGAAUUAUUGGGCGUAAUAGAGCUCGUAGGCGGUUUGUCGCGUCUGCCGUGAAAGUCCCGGGGCUUAACUCCGGAUCUGCGGUGGGUACGGGCAGACUAGAGUGCAGUAGGGGAGACUGGAAUUCCUGGUGUAGCGGUGAAAUGCGCAGAUAUCAGGAGGAACACCGAUGGCGAAGGCAGGUCUCUGGGCUGUAACUGACGCUGAGGAGCGAAAGCAUGGGGAGCGAACAGGAUUAGAUACCCUGGUAGUCCAUGCCGUAAACGUUGGGCACUAGGUGUGGGGGACAUUCCACGUUUUCCGCGCCGU
rnacentral:rRNA from 1 species